rnacentral:rRNA from 1 species
AGAGUUUGAUCCUGGCUCAGAACGAACGCUGGCGGCGUGCCUAACACAUGCAAGUCGAGCGAGAAAGCCCGCAAGGGUGAGUACAGCGGCGCACGGGUGCGUAACACGUGGGUAAUCUGCCCUGGAGUCCGGAAUAACCUCCCGAAAGGGAAGCUAAUGCCGGAUGAGACCACGGGGGCUCCGGCCCCUGAGGGAAAAGGUGGCCCCUGCAUGCAAGCUAUCACUCCAGGAUGAGCCCGCGGCCCAUCAGCUCGUUGGCGGGGUAACGGCCCACCAAGGCUACGACGGGUAGCUGGUCUGAGAGGACGAUCAGCCACACUGGAACUGAGACACGGUCCAGACUCCUACGGGAGGCAGCAGUGGGGAAUCUUGCGCAAUGGGCGAAAGCCUGACGCAGCAACGCCGCGUGUGUGAUGAAGGUCUUCGGAUCGUAAAGCACUGUCGGGAGGGACGAAUAAGGGCCGGGAUAACACUCCGGUCCGAUGACGGUACCUCCAAAGGAAGCACCGGCUAACUCUGUGCCAGCAGCCGCGGUAAUACAGAGGGUGCAAGCGUUGUUCGGAAUUAUUGGGCGUAAAGCGCGUGUAGGCGGCCAGCCAAGUCGGGUGUGAAAGCCCUCGGCUUAACCGAGGAAGUGCGCCCGAAACUAGCUGGCUUGAGUACCGGAGAGGGUGGCGGAAUUCCCGGUGUAGAGGUGAAAUUCGUAGAUAUCGGGAGGAACACCAGCGGCGAAGGCGGCCACCUGGACGGAUACUGACGCUGAGACGCGAAAGCGUGGGGAGCAAACAGGAUUAGAUACCCUGGUAGUCCACGCCGUAAACGAUGAGCGCUAGGUGUUGUGGGUGUUGACCCCCGCAGUGCCGCAGCUAACGCAUUAAGCGCUCCGCCUGGGAAGUACGGCCGCAAGGCUAAAACUCAAAGGAAUUGACGG